UACAGGGGGUGCAAACGUUGCUCGGAAUCACUGGGCGUAAAGCGCACGUAGGCGGCUUCUUAAGUCAGGGGUGAAAUCCUGGAGCUCAACUCCAGAACUGCCUUUGAUACUGAGGAGCUUGAGUCCGGGAGAGGUGAGUGGAACUGCGAGUGUAGAGGUGAAAUUCGUAGAUAUUCGCAAGAACACCAGUGGCGAAGGCGGCUCACUGGCCCGGUACUGACGCUGAGGUGCGAAAGCGUGGGGAGCAAACAGG
rnacentral:rRNA from 1 species